GAGACAGAGAGAGAGAGAGAGGAGAAAGAGAGAGAGAGAGAGAGAGAGAGAGAGAGAGAGAGAGAGAGAGAGAGAGAGAGAGAGAGAGAGAGAGAGAGAGAGAGAGAGAGAUUGUGAAAUCAUGAAAAUGGUUUGUUGUUGUCUGAAGGAAUAACCUAUGCGACAAAAAAAAAAAAAAAAAUGUAUACAAUUCAACGGCGAUCUUUCUUUUUGCGUCGGUGAGUAAAGCUACUUACGUUUUCACAGUGCUGUGUAAUUAUUAUUUUACUGUACACUGGUCGACUGACAGUGGAAUAUCCUGGCUAGUAAAACUGUUAAAUGAGCUAGCUAGGCUAGCGAAGUUAUCCUGUGGAAAUCACUGCUCCUCCGCAGCAGUUUAGCGGUUUUGUCGUUAAAUACUGCAAACCCAAACGAAAUAUAGACACUCUUGGAGAUCCCAUAAAGAGCAACAGUAGAACCCAACCUAUCUAGAGAUCCCAUAAAGGCC
ensembl:lncRNA